UUGCUCUUCAACGAGGAAUACCUAGUAAGCGUGAGUCAUCAGCUCGCGUUGAUUACGUCCCUGCCCUUUGUACACACCGCCCGUCGCUACUACCGAUUGAAUGGCUUAGUGAGGUCUUGAGAUUGGCUUCGGGGAGCCGGCAACGGCACCUUGUUGCUGAGAACUUGAUCAAACUUGGUCAUUUAGAGGAAGUAAAAGUCGUAACAAGGUUUCCGUAGGUGAACCUGCGGAAGGAUCAUUAACGAGUUUUUGAAAGGGGUUGUAGCUGGCCGAAAAACAAGGCAUGUGCACACCCUGCUCAAUCCACUCUUAACCCCUGUGCACUUACUGUAGGCUUUGGUGGGAUGGCUGACUUCGGUUGGCUUGAAAGCCUUGCCUAUGUCUAUUACAAACACUAAAGUAUAAGAAUGUAACAUAGCGUCUAACGCAUUAAAUACAACUUUCAGCAACGGAUCUCUUGGCUCUCGCAUCGAUGAAGAACGCAGCGAAAUGCGAUAAGUAAUGUGAAUUGCAGAAUUCAGUGAAUCAUCGAAUCUUUGAACGCACCUUGCGCUCCUUGGUAUUCCGAGGAGCAUGCCUGUUUGAGUGUCAUGGAAUUAUCCACUUUCAAAACUUUUGUUAUGGAAGCUGGGACUUGGAGGUCGUGUCGGCUUAGGUCGACUCCUCUGAAAUGUAUUAGCGUGAAUCUUACGGAUCGCCUUCAGUGUGAUAAUUGUCUACGCUGUGGUGUGAAGUAUACUAGUGUUCGUGCUUCUAACCGUCCUUCGGGACAAUUACUUGACCAUUUGACCUCAAAUCAGGUAGGACUACCCGCUGAACUUAAGCAUAUCAAUAAGCGGAGGA
rnacentral:rRNA from 1 species